UACGGAGGGGGCUAGCGUUGUUCGGAAUUACUGGGCGUAAAGCGCACGUAGGCGGCUUUGCAAGUUAGAGGUGAAAGCCCGGGACUCAACUCCGGAAUUGCCUUUAAAACUGCAUCGCUAGAAUUGUGGAGAGGUAAGUGGAAUUCCGAGUGUAGAGGUGAAAUUCGUAGAUAUUCGGAAGAACACCAGUGGCGAAGGCGACUUACUGGACACAUAUUGACGCUGAGGUGCGAAAGCGUGGGGAGCAAACAGG
rnacentral:rRNA from 1 species